AGAGUUUGAUCCUGGCUCAGAACGAACGCUGGCAGCGUGGAUGAGGCAUGCAAGUCGAACGGGAUCGAGUCUAGUAGUAAUACCUGACUCGUGAGAGUGGCGGAAGGGCGAGUAAUGCGAGAGUAAGCUACCCUUCAGUUCGGGACAACGUUUGGAAACGGACGCUAAUACCGGAUACGAAGUACGGACGAAUGUUCGUAUCUUGAAAGAUGGGGACCCGCAAGGGCCUGUUGCUGGAGGAGGUGCUCCCGUGCCAUCAGCUUGUUGGUGAGGUAAUGGCUCACCAAGGCUUACGGCUAGGUGGACUGAGAGGUUGGUCACCCGCACUGGGACUGAGACACUGCCCAGACUCCUACGGGAGGCUGCAGUCGAGGAUCAUUCGCAAUGCGCGAAAGCGUGACGAUGCGACGCUGCGUGGAGGACGAAGGCCCUCGGGUCGUAAACUCCUGUCAUGAGGGAAAAGUGGAUACCCGCUAAUACCGGGUUAUCUUUGAUGGUACCUCAAGAGGAAGCCACGGCUAACUCUGUGCCAGCAGCCGCGGUAAUACAGAGGUGGCUAGCGUUGUUCGGAUUUACUGGGCGUAAAGCGUGCGUAGGCGGUCGCGUGUGUCGGAUGUGAAAUCCCGGGGCUCACCCCUGGAAGUGCAUCCGAAACUGCGUGGCUUGAGUCUGGGAUGGGUGACUGGAACACAUGGUGUAGCGGUGAAAUGCGUUGAUAUCAUGUGGAACACCGGAGGCGAAAGCGAGUCACUGGAACAGAACUGACGCUGAGGCACGAAAGCGUGGGGAGCAAACAGCAUUAGAUACCCUGGUAGUCCAC
rnacentral:rRNA from 1 species